UACGGAGGGUGCAAGCGUUGUCCGGAAUCAUUGGGUGUAAAGGGUGUGUAGGCGGGGCUGUAAGUCAGAGGUGAAAGCCUGCGGCUCAACCGUAGAAUUGCCUUUGAUACUGCAGUCCUUGAGUCCCGGAGAGGCCACUAGAAUUCGUGGUGUAGCGGUGAAAUGCGUAGAUAUCACGAGGAAUACCAGAAGCGUAGGCGGGUGGCUAGACGGGUACUGACGCUGAGGCACGAAAGCGUGGGGAGCAAACAGG
rnacentral:rRNA from 1 species